GAUGAAGAACGCAGCGAAAUGCGAUAAGUAAUGUGAAUUGCAGAAUUCAGUGAAUCAUCGAAUCUUUGAACGCACAUUGCGCCCGCCAGUAUUCUGGCGGGCAUGCCUGUUCGAGCGUCAUUUCAACCAUCAAGCCCCCGGCUUGUGUUGGAGACCUGCGGCUGCCGCAGGCCCUGAAAAGCAGUGGCGGGCUCGCUGUCACACCGAGCGUAGUAGCAUACAUCUCGCUCUGGGCGUGCUGCGGGUUCCGGCCGUUAAACCACCUUCAUAACCCAAGGUUGACCUCGGAUCAGGUAGGAAGACCCGCUGAACUUAAGCAUAUCAAUAAGCGGAGGA
rnacentral:misc_RNA from 1 species